rnacentral:rRNA from 1 species
AGAACGAACGCUGGCGGCAGGCUUAACACAUGCAAGUCGAACGCUCCGCAAGGGGAGUGGCAGACGGGUGAGUAACGCGUGGGAACAUACCCCUCGGUUCGGAAUAACUCAGGGAAACUUGAGCUAAUACCGGAUACGGUCGAGAGGCGAAAGAUUUAUCGCCGAGGGAUUGGCCCGCGUCCGAUUAGCUAGUUGGUGAGGUAAUGGCUCACCAAGGCGACGAUCGGUAGCUGGUCUGAGAGGAUGAUCAGCCACAUUGGGACUGAGACACGGCCCAAACUCCUACGGGAGGCAGCAGUGGGGAAUAUUGGACAAUGGGCGAAAGCCUGAUCCAGCCAUGCCGCGUGAGUGAUGACGGCCUUAGGGUUGUAAAGCUCUUUCGUCAGGGACGAUAAUGACGGUACCUGAAGAAGAAGCCCGGCUAACUUCGUGCCAGCAGCCGC